rnacentral:rRNA from 1 species
AUGGUGGUUGCCUCUCCUUCAACGCCGCCUCCGGCCGCCGCCGCCGCUGAUAGCCCGCACCCGACCUACACCAAGAUGAUUAUGGAAGCGCUCACCGAGCUAGGAGGCACCUCCAGUCGUGAUGCCAUCGCCGGAUUCAUCCUCGGUCGCUUCACCGACCUCCCUGCUGCCCACGACGCGCUCCUAUCCGCCCACCUCCGCCGCCUCAUCUCCGAGGGCGUCGUCUCCGAGGGCAUCGUCCGCAGCUUUGCAUCCACCUACAUCUUGCCAGCCCUGGCCCAGCCCCGCAAGGACUCCCUCACCGUGUCGGCGACCAAGAAUUCGUUGGAUCUCGAUUUGGAUCCAUCUAGAGGCUUACAUGCGAGCAACAAUGAUGACAACUCCUCCAGUGAUGACGAUGACGAUGACUACACUUGUGAUGAGGACGAUGAUGAAUACACUCCUGCGCGUGCAACCUACAUGCUGGGAAGGAAGCACGGCCGUGGACGAGUAUCAAGCGUGGCCCUUCCUGUGUCCACACUUGAUUCCUCGACGACAAAGAGAGGGCGUGGGAGGCCGAGAAAGGAACCAGAAGCAACGUCAAGGACCAUCAAGCGUGGCCCUAGUCGCCCUCGCAAGGACGCAUAUCGAUUCCACGCGUCGGCGUCAGCGACCAAGCCCAAGAAAUUGUUGGAUCUCAAUUUGGACCCAUCUGAGGGAUUACAGAUUAGAAGUGAUGAUGAUGAGGAUGUCUGCAGUGAUGAUGAUGAUGAUGAUGAUGUUGACUACACCCCUAUGCUAGGAGAAAAGCAUGGUCAUGGACGCCCACGAAAGAGGGGGCGCGGCCGGCCUUGUAAGGUUGUGUUGUCUGCCAAUGGAGGAGGUGCUUCCUGCCCAUUGACCCAGAGAGGGCGUGGAAGACCAAGGAAGAGACAAAAUGCUUGUCGGCCAGAAGCUUCUUUUCAGAAUGGAGGUGACACAAUGCCUAUGCAAACCCCCACAAGUGAUUUCUUGACGCCGAAGAGAGGGAGUGGGAGGCCGACAAAGGAGACAUAA